rnacentral:lncRNA from 1 species
UCCAAUUUGCCUUCCAUGUCUCUGAAGAAAGAAGAAAAGAAUCUGAUGAGGCUUCCUGUACAUGUUGCAGUUCACCUGCACUUUCUCUUUCUUUCCUGCAUGAAAUGAACAGGUGAUUGGUGAGCAUGGAACACCAUCAUCUUCAUUAAACACCACCAUGAAACUAUAUGGGAUUCUAGAAAUGAAAGAAAAGACACCUGUGGAUUUCCCUCUGCCCUUUCUAACUUUGUCCUCCAUUUUGUGUCCAGGAAAUAUGCUAAUAUGAUUUCCAAGUAUGCUAAGUUGAGAUGAAAGAGCAUUUAUUAGGCCAUUAUGGUGAAUUCCUUAUUCAC